rnacentral:rRNA from 4 species
GAAAGACUCUCGGCAACGGAUAUCUCGGCUCUUGCAUCGAUGAAGAACGUAGCGAAAUGCGAUACUUGGUGUGAAUUGCAGAAUCCCGUGAACCAUCGAGUCUUUGAACGCAAGUUGCGCCCGAAGCCAUUAGGCUGAGGGCACGCCUGCCUGGGUGUCGCCCAUCGUUGCCCC